rnacentral:rRNA from 1 species
GAGUUUGAUCCUGGCUCAGGACGAACGCUGGCGGCGUGCCUAACACAUGCAAGUCGAACGAAGCAGUUUCGAACGGAGAUUCGUCAAAGUUUGGGAUUGACUUAGUGGCGGACGGGUGAGUAAUGCAUGAGCAACCUGCCCUGCAGAGGGGGACAACAGUUGGAAACGACUGCUAAUACCGCAUGAUGUGCCGAGGGGGCAUCCCUUUGGCACCAAAGAUUUAUCGCUGUGGGAUGGGCUCAUGUCUGAUUAGUUAGUUGGUGGGUAACGGCCUACCAAGACUGCGAUCAGUAGCCGGACUGAGAGGUUGAACGGCCACAUUGGGACUGAGAUACGGCCCAGACUCC